UACGGGGGGGGCAAGCGUUGUUCGGAAUUACUGGGCGUAAAGGGCGCGUAGGCGGCCAACUAAGUCCGACGUGAAAUCCCAAGGCUUAACCUUGGAACUGCGUCGGAUACUGGAUGGCUUGAAUUCGGGAGAGGGAUGCAGAAUUCCAGGUGUAGCGGUGAAAUGCGUAGAUAUCUGGAGGAAUACCGGUGGCGAAGGCGGCAUCCUGGACCGACAUUGACGCUGAGGAGCGAAAGCUAGGGGAGCAAACGGG
rnacentral:rRNA from 1 species